rnacentral:tRNA from 1 species
AUUAGGUUGGCAGAAUUAUGUGGUUGAUUUAGGCUCAACAGAAAAAGGUGAAAAUCCUUUACUUAAUA